UAGUUUUGGGGGCUGCUAACUUGUAGACCAUAUACCGAAAACCCUCAUAUACACCCGUAAUUAUCCCUGCUUGGUCGCAAGACUAUAUGGUCUACAAGUUAGCAGCUUUUAAAACUCUGAUUAAUCGGGCGUUUACUUAUAUAACGAAAUGGAAGAACAGGGAAAGUGAAUUAACAUAUAUCAUUCAGCAAGGUCAAAAACAUGGAUAUAGAAAGAAGAUGCUAGAAGGUUUUAUAAAGAAAAUUAGCAACAGUAAUAACACUAAUAUGAAUAUAGAAGAUACACAUAGAAGGUCUACCAGGACAUCGUA
rnacentral:lncRNA from 1 species